rnacentral:lncRNA from 1 species
CUCUCUUCAGAUGAUUUUAUUUAUUCCUUCACAAACAUAUAUUCAGCUUUGUCUACAUGCAGGUCCUGUUUCUGGUACUGGGGAUAGGGUGUUGAAUGAGACAGGUGAGAUCUGUGCACUCCCAGAGACUGUAGUUUAGAGGAAGAGGCAGUGGGAUAAACUAGUGAGCAAAUAUACAAACAAGCUCAUUUCAGACAGUGGGGAAUGCUGUGAAGAUACCGAACAGGGCCAUGAGAUAGGAAGUCGGUGAGUGGAGAUGGGAAGGGCAGGGAAGACUUCUUAGCAAGGUGACAUUUAGGUGAGUCAGAAUGACAAGCAGCAGCCUGGUACUUGAAGUCUUGGGGUAGAACAUUCCAGCAGGGGUGUUAAUGAGCACUAAGGCCCUAUGGAGGAAGGAGCUGGAGAGUUAACAGAAGUGAGAGAGGGGGUGGCCAGAGGUGACAUUGGAGACACAGAAAAGGGCCAGCUCAUGUACAGCAUUGAAGGGCAACUUCAGGACAUUGCUUUUAAUCUAAAGAAGCUGGGAAGUGAUAUUAGCUGGGGUUUGCCCCAGGUGCUGCCAACAGCAGGUGCACAUGCCAGGGAGCCAGAGGAUGCAUGAGUCUCUCCUCAGGAGCCUGAAGACACAUGCCUGGCAGUCAUAGGGGCACUGGAAAUAGUUAGAUUUGGGUCUGAAUAAGCUCAUCCAAACAGUAUAAAUGGAGAUGAGAAAAGACCCCCAGGCUGAGAUCUGAGUUGGCCAAUACUGAGAUGGCAAGCAGAGGAGCAGGUACCAAUGAACGGACAGAGAAGAAGAGGCCUGGGAGGUAGGAGGAAAACCAAGAGGGAAGAACGCAUUUCAAGAAUGCAGAGCGGUCAAGGUUCACCUGUCCUGUCUCCCUGAAAGGAGGACUGCUGGCAAAUAAAUUCCUUCGGCAAUGUAAAGUCUCCUGGAAUGAGUGUUUUUGAGAGAAAUCAAACCCUUAAGCAAGAGUUCAGUAUUAUUAACGCAGUAUUGCAGGGAGGGUUUUCCCUGCCAUGUCUUUGGGCCUUAGUGAUGUCAAUUUAUAACCUUUUUGAGGUUAUCCUGUUGGAGGUAGAGCCAGGAGGCUGAAGACUGUUGGCAGGGAGGAGAUCAAGACACCAUGUUGUAAGCACUUAAAAAUUAAACUCAGCCUGUGAUAUGGCUGUUUAGAGAGACAUUCCUUUUGUUUCAGGAUGGAAGGCAACAUCAUUCUGUAGCACCACAUUGCUUCUGAGUGGACACUUGCCAUUGUCUCAAGCUACCUGUUAGGUUGGGAUCUAACAAGCCAGACAUCUGCUCCUCCAACAGAGCUGCUAACACUACCAACAGGACAUUCUGAAAAUCGUGUCAAAUGUAAUUUUCCUUAGCCUCUCAUGUGAACAGCUCCUCUCUCUGCUCUUCCAACAAGACUCCCAAGUUUUUCCCCUUCCAGGAAGAGGAUCCUUACUACAUCAGCCCUUGGGUGGCUACCUGUCGUGGAUACUGUGGUGGGCUUUGCUCUCAGUACUGAAGCACUUGCUUCCCCAAUGGCUGGGAGUGUUGCUGACUGUGGUUCUCAGUUGAGUUCCUCUUCAGAAUUUGCCAUUUUUGUAUAAUUGACAAAUAAAAAUUGUAUAUGUUUA